UAGUGUAAGAACGCAAAGCAUACGUGAACAUCGAAAAGAUUUUAAAGAAAGAAGGCAUCCGUUUUCAGACUCCUCUAAACAACAUGCACAUCCACUGGCCAAAUGGAGUGAAAACUUACGGCAACGCAGAGGAGGCUGCUAGCGACCUGCAAGAGAGAGGAUACAACGUGGAAAAAGGAAUAAACAGCCGGGAGAGAGAGAGCACUGAGGGACGUCUGUCAACCGGGGCAGAGGCUGUCCUUAGAGCCCUGGCCAGAGUCCUAAGAGAAGACUGGAAGUGGAGUAUGGACUUGGCAACAACCAUCAUCUCUGUCUUCUUCUGUUUCUCCAGUUUCUCCCAGUUCCAUGGAAUGAUCACACAUGUCAAGAUUGGGUCCUUGUGUAUGAAGAUCAUUGAAUAUGAGCUGAAGAGGUAUGACCUCUGGCAAGAUGAGCUUUAGAAGAAGGAGGCUUAUAUCCUUUUAUAAAGAGUCAAAAACACUCGAUUAUGUGUUUUUGUGGUUUGUAUUUAUUUGAGUUCCUUGACUGUUGCUACAUGAAGCACUUUCUGAGAACGAAAAUCUAAAGAAAGAAGAGGAAGAAGACAAGAAGUCUUUCAAAAAGUAUCAGAGCCUUCAGAUCAAGCAGGAGCAGUUUCUCAGAGAGUGUGGAAAGGAGCUGAUGUACUUGGAGAGACACAUGGAGAACAUACAGACUCCACACACAAGCCUCCAGCCAGGUUUUGAACUAGGAACCUUCUUGCUGUGAGGGGACAGUGCUAUCCACUCUAUCAUCAUGCCACCAACCUCAUAGUACCUGGUAUUCCCGUCAAAGCACUAAGCUGUCUUUGUCAGACUUGAACUUGAGAAAACACAGUGGAUCAACUACCACCACCUGUGUUCCAGCUAUGAUUGUGUGAGAGUUGUAGCAGCUGUCACAAGUUCUUAUUUAAUAAUUCUUUAAGGCUGGUUUCAUCUCCAUUGCUUAUACAUCUUUUGCUAUCACACAUUUCCCUUCUUGUCAACUUUCCAUUAGUGAUGUGUUGGUCGCGAAUGAAACGGCUGGAGCCGGCUCUUUGAAGUGAACGAUGGAAGCCGGCUCCCGUGUUUGUUUGUUUUUUCUUUCUCUCACCCUCUCUCUCGCACUUUUUUUCGCUUCACUCCGUACGUGAGCCUUGUGCUUGCACUGAGCAGAGGGAGGAGGGGCGGUAGUUACACUUGCAGUAGCACAGGAACAGGGCGGGAGGGAGAGAGAGAGAAAGAGAGCCAGGGGCAACAACGUCACAUUAGAAAGGUAUAGUGAUCAUCCACAACUAUUUUCAGUUAUGGAUGAUAAAGGAUUCAGAAAGUUUAUUCAUGCAGUGAAUCCUAUGUAUGCAAUUCCAAGCAGGAAAACACUCUCCCAAAAAAUCCUCCCAGGCCUAUAUGACAGAGAAUGUGCAU